GGCUCAGGAUGAACGCUGGCGGCGUGCUUAACACAUGCAAGUCGAACGGACUCAUAUUGAAACCUAGUGAUUUAUGAGUUAGUGGCGGACGGGUGAGUAACGCGUGGAAAACCUGCCGUAUACUGGGAGAUAACACUUAGAAAUAGGUGCUAAUACCGCAUAAGCGCACAGCUUCGCAUGAAGUGGUGUGAAAAACUCUGGUGGUAUACGAUGGUUCCGCGUCUGAUUAGCUUGUUGGCGGGGUAAUGGCUCACCAAGGCGACGAUCAGUAGCCGGCCUGAGAGGGUGAACGGCCACAUUGGGACUGAGACACGGCCCAAACUCCUACGGGAGGCAGCAGUGGGGAAUAUUGCACAAUGGGGGAAACCCUGAUGCAGCGACGCCGCGUGAGUGAAGAAGUAUUUCGGUAUGUAAAGCUCUAUCAGCAGGGAAGAAAAUGACGGUACCUGAUUAAGAAGCCCCGGCUAACUACGUGCCAGCAGCCGCGGUAAUACGUAGGGGGCAAGCGUUAUCCGGA
rnacentral:rRNA from 1 species